AACAAUAAACCUUAUGAGACAACGAAACGAGAGUACUGGUGCCAAGACGGCGCUGAAACAAAAGACGAUGAUGAUUUGUCAUGUCCAGUUCAAAGAGACGCCACUACUGGUGAAAGAAUUUGGGACAGUCAGGGAUUCUGCUGUCGUUGUUCGCUUGCCGAAGAUUAUUUAUCGUCGCAAGGUGGCCGUUAUCAUCGCGGUAACACAGUCUGCGAAAAUAAAUGGCACAUCCCUUUCCUUCAUCAGUUAU